GUCCCCAUCGUCUAGUGGCCUAGGACAUCGGGUUCUCAUCCCGAAAACAGGGGUUCGACUCCCCUUGGGGAUGCCA
rnacentral:tRNA from 2 species